UACGGAAGGUGCAAGCAUUGUUCGGAUUGACUGGGCGUAAAGAGCACGUAGGCGGGUUUAUAAGUCGGAUGUGAAAGCCCUAGGCUCAACCUAGGAACUGCAUUCGAAACUGUAGAUCUUGAAUGUUUGGGAGGCUAGCGGAAUUCCAGGUGUAGGAGUGAAAUCCGUAGAUAUCUGGAGGAACACCGGAGGCGAAGGCG
rnacentral:rRNA from 1 species